ACCUCGGUGGCUGAGUGAUCAAGAGCACUGACUCCCAAUCCGGAGGUGCUGGGUUCGAAUCCCGGCCGGGACA
rnacentral:tRNA from 1 species